rnacentral:rRNA from 1 species
UACGAAGGGUGCAAGCGUUACUCGGAAUUACUGGGCGUAAAGAGUACGUAGGUGGUUUGCCAAGUCCGAUGUGAAAUCUCCUGGCUUAACUGGGAGGGUGCGUUAGAUACUGGCAGGCUUGAGUGUGGGAGAGGAGAGCGGAAUUCCUGGUGUAGCGGUGAAAUGCGUAGAUAUCAGGAGGAACGCCUGUGGUGUAGGCGGCUCUCUGGACCAUUACUGACACUGAGGUACGAAAGCGUGGGUAGCAAACAGG